ACCUCGGGGCUUCAUGAGUUCAUCAAAGCCCUUUCUUAUACGUUAAUCCGAAAAGAAUAGACAGAAUAUACUAUAAUAUUGUUACAGUGAACUACAGGAAUACUGGAGUGGAAUAGGAAUCCUGAUACUGAAUCAGAAUCGAGGAAUAUAAUAUAUUUGACUUUGAUGUUUGGUUUGAUUGUGGGACGGUAAAUGUAAACAUAUUGCCUUAGUGUAGCAACAAUAUAAUUUAAUUAAUGUUUCAAGCUGAGUGAUUUUACUAUUAAUUGUUUGACCUUAACUUACUAAAAUAGUUAGAUACUUUAAACCCAUAUAUCAUAAAGAAGCUACAAAUCAUGUGGCAUUUGAUAUUGGUUUUACUACUAAGCUGUCAUUAUGCUUAUGCUUCUGAUGGAUACGAUUUUGGAGAUGUUUUAGCGUUAAUGUUAGGAAUGGGAAUAAGCUUGGUAGGAGUUUGUGCCUGUUUAGGAUGUUAUGCAAGAAGGAGGCAAGCUGGUCUGGAUUCAUUAUGAAAUGAAUGCUGUUCCAUUUUGAUAAUGUGACUUCAAGGAUAUUUUAUAUACAAAUUAUAUUUUUGACGCUAGUCAGUACUUUCUAAAGAAAUACUUUAGAAAUACUACGCAGAACCAUGGGCAAACAAAUGGAGCCAAAAUCUCUGAACACUAAUAUAAUGAAUCAUUGAUGUGUAUAUCACGAAAUAUUGUACAUAGUUCUUACUUUUGUUAUGUUUAAAAAUAAAAGCAUUUUGUUUUAACAUUAUUA